UACGUAGGGACCAAGCGUUGUUCGGAUUUACUGGGCGUAAAGGGCGCGUAGGCGGCGCGGUAAGUCACUUGUGAAAUCUCUGAGCUUAACUCAGAACGGCCAAGUGAUACUGCAGUGCUAGAGUGUGGAAAGGGCAAUCGGAAUUCUUGGUGUAGCGGUGAAAUGCGUAGAUAUCAAGAGGAACACCUGAGGUGAAGACGGGUUGCUGGGCCAACACUGACGCUGAUGCGCGAAAGCCAGGGGAGCAAACGGG
rnacentral:rRNA from 1 species